rnacentral:rRNA from 1 species
ACUCCUACGGGAGGCAGCAGUGGGGAAUAUUGCACAAUGGGCGCAAGCCUGAUGCAGCCAUGCCGCGUGUGUGAAGAAGGCCUUCGGGUUGUAAAGCACUUUCAGUCGUGAGGAAGGUAGUGUAGUUAAUAGCUGCAUUAUUUGACGUUACCUACAGAAGAAGCACCGGCUAACUCCGUGCCAGCAGCCGCGGUAAUACGGAGGGUGCGAGCGUUAAUCGGAAUUACUGGGCGUAAAGCGCAUGCAGGCGGCCUGUUAAGUCAGAUGUGAAAGCCCGGGGCUUAACCUCGGAAUUGCAUUUGAAACUGGCAGGCUAGAGUCUUGUAGAGGGGGGUAGAAUUUCAGGUGUAGCGGUGAAAUGCGUAGAGAUCUGAAGGAAUACCAGUGGCGAAGGCGGCCCCCUGGACAAAGACUGACGCUCAGAUGCGAAAGCGUGGGGAGCAAACAGGAUUAGAUACCCUGGUA